rnacentral:rRNA from 1 species
CAAGAUUGGAACUCAAAGGAAUUGACGGGGCCUUACUACAAGUGGUGGAGCAUGGUGGUUAAUGGCGAUAAUACCGCGCCAAAACCUUAGCCAGUUUUUGACAUAAAAUAAUAACCCAAUUUAAAAUAUUUAUAAUUAUUUUACAGGUGUUGCCCGACUGUCGUCAGUUCGUGUCGUAAGAUGUUUGGUUUAUUCCUUUAACGAAUGUAACUCUUAUCUCUAUAUUCAAACGCAAUUUAUAAUUAACAUAUAAAUCGUCAAUUUUUAAAGAAACUGUUAAUUAUAAAUUAAAGGAAGGUAAGAAUAAAGUCAAGUCCCUGUGGCCUUAAUAAACUGGGCUACACACGUGCUACAAUAAAAAUUACAAAAAGUUAAAUUUUAUUUAAACAUUAAAAAUUUUUUAAGUUCGGAUUGUAUGCUGCAACUCGCCUACAAGAAGUUGGAAUCACAAGUAAUCGCAAAUCAGAGCGUUGUGGUGAAUAAGUAUCUUAGUCUUGUA